UGCGCAGGCGGUUAUGUAAGUCAGAUGUGAAAUCCCCGGGCUUAACCUGGGAAUGGCAUUUGAGACUGCAUGGCUAGAGUGUGUCAGAGGGGGGUAGAAUUCCACGUGUAGCAGUGAAAUGCGUAGAGAUGUGGAGGAAUACCGAUGGCGAAGGCAGCCCCCUGGGAUAACACUGACGCUCAUGCACGAAAGCGUGGGGAGCAAACAGGAUUAGAUACCCUGGUAGUCCACGCCCUAAACGAUGUCUACUAGUUGUCGGGACUUAAUUGUCUUGGUAACGCAGCUAACGCGUGAAGUAGACCGCCUGGGGAGUACGGUCGCAAGAUUAAAA
rnacentral:rRNA from 1 species